CGGACGCAUGCGCACAAGUAGCCGGACGAGGGGCAGGCUUUUACGGGCGCCGCCGCGCGCUAGGCGCGGCUUCUCGGCAGGGAGCCUGGGCAGAGCUUGCUUGCUAUGGCGGAGCGAGGUGCAGCUUCGAACUCGGACUCUGCUCCUGCGGGUUGCUGAGUGCACUAGGAGCCGGCUGAGGUGUCACUGCUCAGCCGUGGAGCAGGCGAUUGGCAGCGUGAAUCGCUGUGGCCUUUUUGAAGAAAGUCAGUCGCUUGUCGUUAAAUACAGGCGUGUGGGGUAGGGGUUUCCCUCUCCCUUUCCACGUGACCAGCCCGCACGGGGAGGACCGGGUGGUGGGCGGAGGCCGGCGUUUCUAGGAGGAGGCACACCCUGCAUGGGGCCACCUUUGUGUGUUUUCCCUCCGCGCCUGGGUCACGAAGGAGAGUGACGCUCUUGGCAGCAGCCGGUCAAAAUGUCCUCGUCACCGCCACUCGGCCAGCAGCUCCCUGAAAGGGGCAGCAGGAUCCGCCAACCCGGGAGGGCUCUGUUACCUUCCAGCUGACCCGGGAGAUGCGGGGACAGGCGGCGCCAACCUCCGCCCCCCCCCCCCGCCCGCCAAUUAGUCAUUAGUAUCGGCACUCGACGAGGGCCUGAUCCAACACCCAUUGAAGUUAAUGGGAAUCUUUCUGUCCAUUUUAAUGGGCUUUGGAGGAGGUCCAUACACACUUACAAGCUGUUUUCGUUACUGUAAAUAGGUAAAGUAUCUACUGUCCUCAUCUGUCCUUCAGCUUAUCAAUAACUGGCCAAUUUCUCAUAGGCAUCAGACAGAUGUGAGGAGAGAUCUGGAGAAAGGAUAGUGGUCUGUAAUGGAUCAGUUCAGCGAGGGCAUACCAUGUGUAAGGGCCAGCAUGGAAAAAAGGCAUGGGUGAAAAAGUGAGGAAUAGGUAAGUAAAUUAAGUGGCAGUCCUAAUGAUAAGGCCUCAGUUACAAAUACCUCCAAAGCCCUCAGUAGAAACAUAAUCCUGUACCACUGGGGGGAAAAAAAACAAAACCAAGAGUAGAAUGAGGAAGGGGACAGAGUGAGAGAAUUUUGGCAGUGACAAAGUCAAUAUUUGCCAACCCUUACAUCAGCCUUCAGCUGUUACGAUCUUAAUUCGGAAAGUGAGACUUUGUUAUAGAGGAGACAACUUUCGCACAUACAUAAAGAGUAACUUCGUUAGAAGUUUCACUAGUGUUUCAUACUUUUUCUUUGAUAAUUAAAGAUAUUCAGGAUUAAGGAAAAAAAUGGCCUGAUCCUGUCCCACCCUCUUUCCUCACUUGAUCAUGUAGUGCAAUCAUCAUGCUUUACUUGUAAUAUGUUAAUUUUUGUGGUAAUAGAUGGUGAUCUCACUGCAGGGUGAAGCAAAAAUGUUGAUGUAGGGGAAAAAAGGCACGCUCAAAGACAAAGUAAAAGCAAGAGAGAAAGUGACUGAUCUUGAAAAUUAUAAGUAGUCUCUUGUUUUGAGUUGAUUCAUGUAAAAAAAAUUCACC